rnacentral:rRNA from 1 species
CUUAGUGGCGGACUGGUGAGUAACGCGUGAGGAACCUACCUUCCAGAGGGGGACAACAGUUGGAAACGACUGCUAAUACCGCAUAAGCCCACGGUACCGCAUGGUACUGAGGGAAAAGGAUUUAUUCGCUUUAGGAUGGACUCGCGUCCAAUUAGCUAGUUGGUGAGGUAACGGCCCACCAAGGCGACGAUUGGUAGCCGGACUGAGAGGUUGAACGGCCACAUUGGGACUGAGACACGGCCCAG